CUAACUCGUUUUUGGGGCUUCGGCUUCAGAGACUAAGCGAAAGUGAUAAGUUAGCCACCUGGGGAGUACGAACGCAAGUUUGAAACUCAAAGGAAUUGACGGGGGCCCGCACAAGCGGUGGAUUAUGUGGUUUAAUUCGAUGAUACGCGAGGAACCUUACCAAGGCUUAAAUGGGAAUUGACCGGUUUAGAAAUAGACCUUCCUUCGGGCAAUUUUCAAGGUGCUGCAUGGUUGUCGUCAGCUCGUGCCGUGAGGUGUUAGGUUAAGUCCUGCAACGAGCGCAACCCCUGUCACUAGUUGCUAACAUUCAGUUGAGGACUCUAGUGAGACUGCCUACGCAAGUAGAGAGGAAGGUGGGGAUGACGUCAAAUCAUCACGGCCCUUACGCCUUGGGCCACACACGUAAUACAAUGGCCGGUACAGAGGGCAGCUACACAGCGAUGUGAUGCAAAUCUCGAAAGCCGGUCUCAGUUCGGAUUGGAGUCUGCAACUCGACUCUAUGAAGCUGGAAUCGCUAGUAAUCGCGCAUCAGCCAUGGCGCGGUGAAUACGUUCCCGGGCCUUGUACACACCGCCCGUCAAGCCAUGGAAGUCUGGGGUACCUGAAGUCGGUGACCGUAACAGGAGCUGCCUAGGGUAAAA
rnacentral:rRNA from 1 species